AACAAAAGUGGACUAUAGUGACAAACUCUAGUGACGAAAAUUAAAUUCGUCACAAAAUGAUAACAUUUGGUGACAAAUACAAAAAUUCGUCACCAAUUUUGAUAAAAUAUUUUACUACGGUGAUGAAAUUAGUAAUUCAUCACUAAAGAUAUUCGUAUUGGUGACGAAAUAAGGUUUUCAUCACUAUAGCUCAUGAAAUAAAAUGGCGCCAUUGUGUUUUUAUUUGGCGGGCUGUACCAUUGUCUAUGGUGACGAAAUAAGGUUUCGUCACUGAGGAUAAAAAUUAAGCGCCCUUUCAGUGUUUUGGGGGCCAGAGUUUUUAAUUUACUUUUAUUUUUAGGUAAAAAAUUGUAACCCUAAAUCCCCAAAUCACUCAUAAAUUUUAUUUCUCCUUCUCUUUUUCUCUCUCUCUCACUCACACACACACACACACACGUUGCACCAGCCACCAACCACCAACCACCAGCCGCUGGCCAACCCAGCCACCAGCCGCCGACGAGCCGAGCUUAGCCCAGAGCCGACGCCGACGAGCCUAGCCCAAUCAUCCCAGCGCGGCGACGCUAAUCUUCUCCGUCGUCAGAUAUAAGAUUGGUGGCAAAAAGAUAGCUUUUGUGGGACUACUUGAACUCAAAUAAUUUUUUGUAAAGUUUGGAAGCUAAGACAUCAUUUGUAUAUAAAUGGUUGUAAUUACUUUGUGAACAUCUUUAUUGCAUUUUUAGAUUGUAUGGAUGUUUUUUUUAUGGAUUUGGUUAGAAAUGAAUGGAUGUUUUUUUUUAUGGAUUUGGUUAGAAAUGAA